AAAAGGUCCCGCAGAGCUGAGCAGUCAAGAUGGUGGGGCCCAGGUCCUGGGAGAUGGGCAGGAUUGGGGACGAGAGGCGGGAAGAGACGGGUGGGGGGCGAGGAGAAGGCAGGGGUAGGAGGCAAAGGGAACCUGAGGACCCGAAAGGUUGGAGGUGGGGUUGGAAAGCCUGGGGCCCUGCGGGGAAGCGAGUCUGCAGCCUGAAACAGGAGUUUGUGGGUCAGGUUUGUGGGGCUGGGAUAGAAACUCGGGGGAUUGGCGUUCAGAUGCUGACCACUUCCCUCUUCUCUGAGCAGUGUGACUUCACCGAAGACCAGACCGCAGAGUUCAAGGAGGCCUUCCAGCUGUUUGACCGAACAGGUGAUGGCAAGAUCCUGUACAGCCAGUGUGGGGAUGUGAUGAGGGCCCUGGGCCAGAACCCUACCAACGCCGAGGUGCUCAAGGUCCUGGGGAACCCCAAGAGUGAUGGUGAGGGGCCUAAAGAACAACUCCUAAGUGUGGUCAUGGGCCCACAGUUCUUCAGCUAAGA
rnacentral:sRNA from 1 species